rnacentral:rRNA from 1 species
AAAAACAUGUCCGUGUGAUAGAUAUACACGGUCCGGCCUGCCCACUGACAUAAGUUAAAGGGCCGCGGUAUCCUGACCGUGCGAAGGUAGCAUAAUAAUUAGUCUCCUAAUUAGAGGCUAGUAUGAAUGGUCUGACAAGAUGGGGCCUGUCUUUAUAUAAGUUGGUAUAAAUUAAUAUUUGAGUAAAAAAGCUUAAAUAAGAUGAAGGGACGAUAAGACCCUAUAAAGCUUUAUGGUAUAGGUCUUUUGUAUCAAUUAUGGUAAUAUGAAAAUGCUUAAGAAUAAUAUCAUUUUACUGGGGCGGUAAAAGUAUAAGGGAAUAACUGCUUUUAUUAAGGUUAAACAAUAAUAAUUGAAAAAUAAAUUGAUCCAUUAAUAAUGAUCAGAAGAACAAGUUACUUUAGGGAUAACAGCGUAAUUUUCCUUGAGAGUUCAUAUCGAAAGGAAAGUUUGCGACCUCGAUGUUGAAUUAAGGGUACCUUAAGGUGUAGCAGUUUUAAAGGUAGAUCUGUUCGAUCUUUAAUUCCUUACGUGAUCU